UUACUAAAAGUUAAUUUGGGGGAGGUUACUCAAUGACCUUUGCCAGCUUGAAUUCUUUGGGAAAAUGAACUUAAAGACCAUCCUCCACAGUGGGCUAUGUCACUCAUCAUAGCUUACUACUAUGUUGUGGUUUACAUU